AGUGAACGCUGGCGGUAGGCCUAACACAUGCAAGUCGAACGGCAGCACAGUAAGAGCUUGCUCUUACGGGUGGCGAGUGGCGGACGGGUGAGGAAUACAUCGGAAUCUACUUUUUCGUGGGGGAUAACGUAGGGAAACUUACGCUAAUACCGCAUACGACCUACGGGUGAAAGCAGGGGAUCUUCGGACCUUGCGCGAUUGAAUGAGCCGAUGUCGGAUUAGCUAGUUGGCGGGGUAAAGGCCCACCAAGGCGAUGAUCCGUAGCUGGUCUGAGAGGAUGAUCAGCCACACUGGAACUGAGACACGGUCCAGACUCCUACGGGAGGCAGCAGUGGGGAACAUUGGACAAUGGGCGCAAGCCUGAUCCAGCCAUACCGCGUGGGUGAAGAAGGCCUUCGGGUUGUAAAGCCCUUUUGUUGGGAAAGAAAAGCAGCAGGUUAAUACCCCGCUGUUCUGACGGUACCCAAAGAAUAAGCACCGGCUAACUUCGUG
rnacentral:rRNA from 1 species